rnacentral:rRNA from 1 species
UAGGGAAUCUUCCACAAUGGGCGAAAGCCUGAUGGAGCAACGCCGCGUGGGUGAAGAAGGUCUUCGGAUCGUAAAACCCUGUUGUUAGAGAAGAAAGUGCGUGAGAGUAACUGUUCACGUUUCGACGGUAUCUAACCAGAAAGCCACGGCUAACUACGUGCCAGCAGCCGCGGUAAUACGUAGGUGGCAAGCGUUAUCCGGAUUUAUUGGGCGUAAAGGGAACGCAGGCGGUCUUUUAAGUCUGAUGUGAAAGCCUUCGGCUUAACCGGAGUAGUGCAUUGGAAACUGGGAGACUUGAGUGCAGAAGAGGAGAGUGGAACUCCAUGUGUAGCGGUGAAAUGCGUAGAUAUAUGGAAGAACACCAGUGGCGAAAGCGGCUCUCUGGCCUGUAACUGACGCUGAGGUUCGAAAGCGUGGGUAGCAAACAGG